rnacentral:rRNA from 1 species
GACGUAGGGCGCAAGCGUUGUCCGGAUUUAUUGGGCGUAAAGAGCUCGUAGGCGGCCUGUCGCGUCGACCGUGAAAACCCGCAGCUCAACUGCGGGCUUGCGGUCGAUACGGGCAGGCUGGAGUUCGGUAGGGGAGACUGGAAUUCCUGGUGUAGCGGUGAAAUGCGCAGAUAUCAGGAGGAACACCGGUGGCGAAGGCGGGUCUCUGGGCCGAUACUGACACUGAGAAGCGAAAGCGUGGGGAGCGAACAGG